rnacentral:lncRNA from 1 species
UGACCCUAGACGAUAGUUUGCAAUAAAGUUUAGGGGAAAUGGUCUUACCUGCAUUUGCUGUACAUUUCUGAUUAUUAUGAGUGAUAGCUGUAGAAGGAGCAAUGGUGUAGCUAAUUUGUUCCCAAUAGUGAAUGAUGGUUGGAAGAGGUCGCACUUGGUGCUAUGGCAAGUGCCUUCGCCCAUGAGCGGUAGGUCUCGGGUUCGAGACUUGGGAGCAGCCUCUCCAUAAAUGGGGGUAAGGCUAGCCGACAUUCACCUCUCCCAGACCCUGCGUAAAGCGGGAGCCUUGUGCACUGGGUACAACCUUUAGUGAAUGAUGGUUGGAGGUCUUAUCGUUUCAGUAGUUCAAUAAGCAUCUUCCAUUUGCACAUAUCCAAGUGUGCGACUGUUCUUCUAUAACCCCUUUCCCAUUCACAAUCUUAUUGAUACAGC